rnacentral:lncRNA from 1 species
UGGACUUCUGGUCUGGCUCCUCCACUUAUCUGGUGUGUGGCUUAAGCUUCAUUUCCUUCAUGCUGAAUCACCAGGGGGUCCCACAUGGCUGUCCCAACUCCAUCAAGCUGGAGUCCGAGAGGUGGCAGGCAGGCGGGCAGGGGCUUAGGAACACGCGAGGCAGCCGCACUCUAAGUGUCUCUCCACCUCUUCUACAAAUGAGGAGCCGUCCGUGCACUGGAAGACGUAUUUCCGCCGCUUGCUGCGGGUGGGCUGGCAGCACUGGGGCCCACAGCCCCCACGACAUUCCAUGAUGGGCACCUUGGAGGCUGUGGCACAUGAUGCAUAACCUUUCUGGCGGCGGAUCACCUCUCGGACUACUUGUCCCAGGCACGGAUUCUCUGCAGAGGGCAUAGAAGUCAGGGCAUUGGUGGUCUAGGUGGCCAGCAGGACCAUGAACAGUUCCCAGGUAUAAAAUGUGGAAAAGUCCUCGAGGCACGGGGUGGACUGCCUGGGAUCCUGGUGGCAGGGAGCAAGACUUCUCAGUGUCCAUGCAGGAGAAAGAUCCCCCAAGCCUCUCAAGACCACAGAAGGCACUAUGUUCCUGAGAAGCCUCCUCUUUCUUGUCAUCUGGAGACACCUAGAGAAGCAGACAAGUAUCUGUGUGGGACUUGCACAUUUUCUGGGACAGAGCAAACCACAAAGCCUCAUUCUGUA